rnacentral:rRNA from 1 species
GAGUUUGAUCUUGGCUCAGAAUCAACGCUGGCGGCGUGCCUAAUACAUGCAAGUCGAACGCGAAAGUCCCGCAAGGGGCAAGUAGAGUGGCAAACGGGUGAGUAACGCGUGGGCGACCUACCUUCGAGUGGGGGAUAACCUUCCGAAAGGAGGGCUAAUACCGCAUGACAUCCCGUGUUUGGAUACACGGACAUCAAAGCCGGGGAUCGCAAGACCUGGCGCUUGGAGAGGGGCCUGCGUCCGAUUAGCUAGUUGGUGGGGUAACGGCCCACCAAGGCUUCGAUCGGUAUCCGGCCUGAGAGGGCGGACGGACACACUGGGACUGAGACACGGCCCAGACUCCUACGGGAGGCAGCAGUAGGGAAUUGUUCGCAAUGGGCGCAAGCCUGACGACGCAACGCCGCGUGGAGGAUGAAGACCUUCGGGUCGUAAACUCCUUUCGUACCGAGAUGAAUACCAUCGACCUAACACGUCGAUGGCUGACAGUAUCGAGGAAGAAGCCCGGCUAACUCCGUGCCAGCAGCCGCCGCGGU